AUGAAUUCCCUAGUGUGGAACUGUCGAGGGGCAGGGAACCAUCGCACAGUUCGUGACUUACAGGCUCUGUGUAGAGCCAAUUCCCUGAGGAUGGUGUUUUUGUGUGAGACUAGACAACAACUACAUAAGAUGUAGAGAUUGCGUAAUCGGUUAGGGCUCCGUGGUUUUGAUGGCAUAAGUAGGAAUGGAAAGAGUGGUGGUUUAGCACUUUUUUGGGAUGAUUCUAUGUAUGCCAGUGUUCAAGAUAUAAACGACAGAUGGAUUGAUGUGUUUAUUCGAGUUGCUCCUUCCGAACCACUUUGGUGA
rnacentral:rRNA from 1 species